ensembl:snoRNA Snord90 small nucleolar RNA, C/D box 90
AAGUGUGUGUUCUAAGUGUCUAAUGAUGAGUUUCAUAGGGCAGAUUUUGAGGUGAAAAUUAAUUCAUCAUUGAUACUCCUAUGAUAUCUGAAGACACUUAAGAAUCU